GAUAUCAACUGAAAAAGUCAUCAACAACAAAGUUGAAUAACUCAUCAAGAUUUAAAACUUUUAUUUUGGUCAUUUCUUCAUACGACAAAGUGAUAGUAACAUUGUUCACAAAAUUGUCAUAUCUCUUAUCUGGUUUUAUAAACUAUAACACAUAUAUGUAAAAUUUGUGAAUAAUAUUACUAACAUUUCAUCAGAUGAAGAAAUAACAAAAAUAAAAGUUUUAGAUCUUGAUGAGUUAUUCAACUUUGUUGUUGAUGACUUUUUCAAUUAAAAUC
rnacentral:pre_miRNA from 1 species